rnacentral:lncRNA from 1 species
UCUGCCAAGUGUCUCUUUUUAUUUUAUUAUAUGACUAAGCUAUUGAGUGAACAUUACUACAAAAUAAAAUGCCAAUAAUUAAAUUGAAUGAUUAGAUUAGAUUAGAGGUGUUCAAAUUAUGGAGAUGAAUUAUUAUAUAUAAUAUGAGCAUUUGAGAUGAGAAUCCAAGAAAAUAAGAUGAGAAGUAGCAUCAAAUUUGAAAGUUGCGUCACUUUUCUAACUAAUCCCAGCCUCAAACCAAUACCCCCACUCCCACCUACAAUAAUUUUAUAUAGCUAGAGUUGAUAGUUGAACAUCCAUCCCCUUUAUUUGGUUUUCAAAUUAACCAAAUUUCAAUCAUUAGGUUGGAGUAGAAUUCUCUAACAAGAUUGAGAAGCAUUCAAUUUGAUAUUUUUGUGAAGAAUUCUCUUAAUAAUCCUUGGCGUGAACGUAUGGUUUGAAGUUGUAUCUUAUAUAAAUAGUCUUCUUGAUGAAGAGUUUUCAGUUUGAAGGCUCUUUGUUGAAGCCAUGAGGUAGGAUACUUAUAGUGUAAAGUGAAACUCACUCAAGAAUACAAGAACACAAGAAGAAGAGACAAAAGUAUGAGAUGCAAAAAGAGAGGAAUAGAGUUACCUAUUUAUAGCAAAGCUUCUGACGAUUUUUGACGUGUAAAAACAUCACAAAGUCAUUAAAGAUCCAACCCAAAAAAUAUGAUUUUGCUUGAAAUUUGAAACGCGUAGUCACCUAAUCGAUUAGCUUCUUCCUUUUCAGUAUCCUUGGUGUUUUUGGGUCUUGGACUAGAAAUUUGCUUUGGCAUAUUGGUUUUUUCACUCUUGUCCAUCUUUUUUGCACCCUUUGUCAUGAAAACUGCUAGAACCUCAUCCUUUUUGUUAGUAAUAAUUUUAACAUGAAAAGUAUAUAUAAAAGCACUUAUUUAAAGGGUUAGUCAAAUUGUUGGAUACGAGAGUUGAUAGUAAACCACAAGAUAGAUGAAUUCAUUACAAAUUUAUCUUGAUAAACUCUCCCCCUUUUGAGGGAACGCCAAUAUAUUUUUAUAAGUUCUUAUUUGUGAAUUGUUGGAUAUGAGAGUCGAUAAAAAAAUCACAAGAUAAAUGAAUUCAUUAUAAACUUAUCAUGUCAACCUACUAAGAGGUUAGUUGAUCAUCACAGAUCAAAAAUAUUGAGAUCAUCCUCAACAAGCAUUCCCUUUGAUCACGACUAAUGAUAUACACCAUCAUCAAGCAAUCUUGGAUCACAUGUGUUAGCAUAAAAAAUCACAACCAUAAAUAUUAAGUAUACUCCAAGGUGUAUUGCUUGCUUUGCACAUCUUCAUUUAAUAAUUGAUACGGCUUCAUUAAACCUGCAAAGUAUCCCUACAAACAAUGCUAGAUUUUCACCUUUGAUACUCAAUUUUUUUUUGUCCUAGUGUGUUAGCAGUUCUAAUAGGUAUAUGAUUAUUAUCUUUAGAUGGCCAAAUCUAUUGCAGUAAAAGCAUUUAAAAUCUGGAUGAUUCACGUUCUUCCUAUUAAACUCUUUACUAUGUGCUCUACUGGAUUUAAAUAUUAAUUCAAUUUAUUUAAAGAAGGCCUUUGAUUUGAUAGAAUCAAGUCUGGGUUUUUUUCCCUCCUUAGUAAAUUUACAUAGGGUUUCAUACAAGUCUUUCACUUCCUUUUUCAUUGAGACCCAAGUCUCACAAGUUCCAGCUAAAUUUCUAAUAUUAGUUAUUUCAUGC